UAACAUAUUUCUGAAUGCACGAAAUGAGUGUAAACUCGGCAUCAGCUGCAUUAAUUUAUUUCAGCAAUGGAUCAAAACUUUGCUGUGGCGCUGCAAAUUCAAAACUUCAAAAUGGCAAAACAAGAGUUUGAUCCGUAAUCCAAUUCUAGAAUAUACACCAGCGUGGGGACACGAUUACGUGGUUUGCCGUUACAUUAAAUUAAUUAAACUCGAAAGGACUUUUUUGUUACUCAACUUAAAACAAAUCAAUUAAACUUAACCACACACGCCAACGAGAACGAAUUUAAAUCACAGUUUUGAAUUGAAGCAACUUUCAACUUACACUUCUAACUAACUAGUAAACAAACCCUCGAGAUUUGAUAUACAGAGAUUCAAUUCAAAAAGAUGAAAACGGUAUCCGAUUGGAUCGGCUCGUGUUCGAAUGAGCAAAGGAAUACGUAUCAGCAAUGGUUCAACUUCGCCGAUUCAGAUGGAGAUGGCCGUAUCAGUGGAAAUGAUGCUACCAAGUUCUUUGCUCUCUCCAACUUGUCUCGCCCUCAACUCAAGCAGGUUUGGGCUAUUGCGGAUACCAAAAGAAAAGGUUUUUUAGGUUUUGAAGAGUUUGUUACUGCAAUGCAGCUCAUUUCUGUGGGACAAGCAGGGUAUGAUCUCAACUCAGAUAUCCUUAAAACUGAAAUUGACAACGAAAAUAUCAAACCUCCAGUAAUGGAUGGAAUUGAUGCAUUAGUAGCAAAAACAGAGAGUUCAGCGAUAAAUGCUCAGUCUGAUGAAUUUGGGACUGGUCAGCCUCGGCCUUUUCCCCCAGUUUCUUCAAAAUCUGUAAAAAAGUUACCUCUCAAUGCAGUGACAUCAAUAAUAGAUGGCUUGAAGAGAUUGUAUGUGGAUCGGCUAAAACCGUUGGAGGUCACUUAUCGAUUCAAUGAUUUUGUAUCUCCAUUAUUGACCAACAGUGAUUUUGAUGCUAAACCAAUGGUCAUGCUUCUUGGUCAAUAUUCCACUGGGAAAACAACAUUUAUAAAACAUUUGCUAAGAUGUGAAUAUCCAGGGGCACACAUUGGACCUGAGCCUACAACCGACAGAUUUGUUGCUGUCAUGUCUGGAGCUGAUGAGAGGAGCAUUCCUGGAAAUACUGCAGCUGUUGAUGCUAGCAUGCCUUUUAGUGGCCUGUCAACUUUUGGUGGUUCAUUUUUGUCGAAGUUUCAAUGCUCUCAAAUGCCACAUCCACUGCUAGAUGAAAUAACAUUUGUGGAUACCCCUGGUGUCCUCUCUGGAGAAAAGCAAAGAACUGAACGAAGUUAUGAUUUUACUGGUGUUAUAUCUUGGUUUGCUGCAAAAUGCGAUUUGAUUCUUCUCCUAUUUGAUCCUCACAAACUAGAUGUCAGUGAUGAAUUUAAACGAGUGAUUGCCUCCCUACGUGGUCAUGAUGACAAAAUUCGUGUAGUUUUGAAUAAGGCAGACCAAAUUGAUACUCAACAACUCAUGAGAGUUUAUGGAGCACUGAUGUGGUCUUUGGGAAAAGUUCUGAAUACUCCAGAAGUUGUACGCGUUUAUAUUGGCUCAUUCAAUGACAAGCCUAUAAAUGAAGGCUCUGUUGGCCCGUUAGGACAGGCCCUUUUUGAGAAGGAACAAAAUGAUCUUCUUGCAGAUUUGGUAGAUAUUCCAAGAAAGGCGUGUGAUGGUCGGGUAUAAUUCUACUUUCAUAUUAUUGUUUAACCUGGUCAUACAAACGAGUAAACGUAUACAUGGCAGAUCAAUGAAUUUGUCAAACGUGCUAGAUCUGCUAAAAUCCAUGCCUAUAUAAUUAGUCACCUUAAGAUGGAGAUGCCUGCAAUGAUAGGCAAAGCUAAGGCUCAGCAAAGGCUUAUAGAUAAUCUUGAAGAUGAAUUUAAAAAGGUUCAAAGGGAGUUUCAUCUACCAGCUGGUGAUUUUCCUAAUGUAGAUCAUUUCAGAGAAGUUUUGAAUGGUUAUAGCAUCGACAAAUUUGAGAAAUUAAAGCCUAAAAUGAUUCAAGCCGUAGAUGACAUGCUUGGUUAUGAAAUACCAGAUCUGUUAAAUAAAUUUAGGAAUCCUUAUGUUUGAGCUGAAAAACAUUGAAGUUUGUUGUUGAUCUUGUCCUGAAUGUUUCUGACUGAUAUUUUGAUGUUUAGGUUUUUCCGAACUAAUGGACAUAUGUUCUUGUGCGCUGAAUGUCAAAUGUCUACAAACUUUACUGUCCAGUCUAUGACAUAAGAUUGUAGAUAGGGGCUGGUUUAGAAAAUGCUAUUCUCUAUUUAUUUUGUUUGCCUUCACUAUCCCGUCUACCAUUUCUAGUGACCUUGUGAGUGGGAACGGAACAAUAAAGGUGCUCUUGUAUACUUGCUUUACAUUACAAUGAUAUCUAGACAAGGUUUUAUGUAGCAUAUUUUGUUUAUUGGCUGCAGCAUUUUUGGUUCAUUGCAGGCGUUUAAGUCACAUAGCUUCUGUGAUGUUCUGAUGUGAAGCCAUUCAUAUUUUGGUUCCCUGCAGUGUCAGUUUCAUUUUACCAGGGUGAAGGGCCAAGUCUCUUUUCUGCUGUCUUGAGUUUUUAUGGAAUGCGACUCACAAAAAUAUUAGGCAUAUUGGGCUUUCUCUUGUUGGGCCUUUUCUUUUUGUUUUACUAUUUCCUUUAUGUUUGCCAAGCUGGUAUAAGAUAGAGGAUUUAAGCUGCUGCAGUGAGCAAGAACAGAAGUCAGUAGAGAGAUUGUUUGAAAACAGCGAGAGAGAAGAGAGAAAAAAAUAGAGACAGAGAAAAACACCACGAGUGAAAAUCAAGAGUGAAGGUUUCUCUCUUGUAAUCUUGAUAUGAAUUCUUUCGUUUAAUAUUGGAGCUUCUCUCUCCUGGAGACGUAGGUCAUCAUUGGAUUGAACUCCGUAAUAAAUUUGUGUGUUCUUCUCUUUCAA